rnacentral:rRNA from 1 species
CAGUAGCCGCGGGAAUACGUAGGGUGCAAGCGUUAAUCGGAAUUACUGGGCGUAAAGCGUGCGCAGGCGGUUUGUUAAGACAGAUGUGAAAUCCCCGGGCUUAACCUGGAACUGCAUUUGUGACUGGCGAGCUAGAGUAUGGCAGAGGGGGGUAGAAUUCCACGUGUAGCAGUGAAAUGCGUAGAUAUGCGGAGGAACACCGAUGGCGAAGGCAGCCCCCUGGGCCAAUACUGACGCUCAUGCACGAAAGCGUGGGGAGCAAACAGGAUUAGAUACCCCAGUAGUCCCUGUCUCUUAUACC